rnacentral:rRNA from 1 species
AUGGCGAGCGCUCGAUCGCGUUUGAUCCUCCUGCUUGUCUUCCUCGCCGCUGCCUCGUCCCCGGCCUCGGCGUGCGACCGGUGCGUGCGCCGGUCCAAGGCGGCGUACCGCGCCUCCUCGCCGGUCCUCGACAAUGCUGGCUCCUGCGGGUACGGCUCCCUGGGGGCGACCUUCAACGGCGGGCUCCUCGCGGCCGCGAGCCCCGCGCUGUACAGGGGGGGCGUCGGCUGCGGCGCGUGCUACCAGGUCCGGUGCACGGACGCCGCGCUCUGCAGCGCCGCGGGCGCCACGGUGGUCGUGACGGACCAGGCGCGCACGGCCACGAACCGCACCGACCUCGUGCUGAGCGGCGCGGCGUACGCGGCCAUGGCGCGGGGCGGCGGGGGCACGGCCGCCGCGCGGCAGCUGAGGGAGCGGCGCGCCGUGGGCGUGAGGGAGCGGCGCGCCGUGGGCGUGGAGUACAAGCGGGUGCCCUGCGAGUACGCGCGCCGCCGCAACCUGUCGGUGCGCGUGGAGGAGGGCGCGCCACCGGGCGGCCUGACGAUCAGGUUCCUGUACCAGGGCGGGCAGACGGACAUCGUGGCGGUGGACGUCGCGGCGGCCGGGUCGUCGAGCUGGAGGUCCAUGACGCGGGAGCGCGGCGGGCCGGCGUGGAGCACGGGCCAGGCGCCGGCGGGGCCGCUGCAGCUCCGGAUGGUGGUCACCGGCGGGUACGACGGGAAGUGGGUGUGGGCAGAAGGGGAGGUCCUCCCGCGGCGGUGGGCCGCCGGCCGGGUGUACGACACCGGGGUGCAGAUCGCCGACGUCGCGCUGGAGGGGUGCUCCCCCUGCGACGCCCGGGAGUGGAAGUGA